rnacentral:rRNA from 1 species
GUCGGAGGAGGCUAGCGUUGUUCGGAAUUACUGGGCUUAAAGAGCGUGUAGGCGGAUCGGUAAGUACCGUGUGAAAGCCCCCGGCUCAACCGGGGAACGGCUCGGUAUACUGUCGGUCUUGAGGCAGGUAGGGGCGAGUGGAACCCUAGGUGGAGCGGUGAAAUGCGUAGAGAUCUAGGGGAACGCCGGUGGCGAAAGCGACUCGCUGGACCUGUCCUGACGCUGAGACGCGAAAGCGUAGGGAGCGAACGGGAUUAGAUACCCCCGUA